UCGAGCGCGCCUUUCGGGGUGAGCGGCGGACGGGUUAGUAACGCGUGGGAAUAUACCCUUUGGUACGGAAUAGCCUCUGGAAACGGAGAGUAAUACCGUAUGAGCCCUUCGGGGGAAAGAUUUAUCGCCAAAGGAUUAGCCCGCGUUAGAUUAGGUAGUUGGUGGGGUAAUGGCCUACCAAGCCUACGAUCUAUAGCUGGUUUUAGAGGAUGAUCAGCAACACUGGGACUGAGACACGGCCCAGACUCCUACGGGAGGCAGCAGUGGGGAAUCUUGGACAAUGGGCGCAAGCCUGAUCCAGCCAUGCCGCGUGAGUGAAGAAGGCCCUAGGGUCGUAAAGCUCUUUCGCCUGUGAAGAUAAUGACGGUAGCAGGUAAAGAAACCCCGGCUAACUCCGUGCCAGCAGCCGCGGUAAUACGGAGGGGGUUAGCGUUGUUCGGAAUUACUGGGCGUAAAGCGCACGUAGGCGGACUGGAAAGUUGGGGGUGAAAUCCCAGGGCUCAACCCUGGAACUGCCUCCAAAACUAUCAGUCUAGAGUUCGAGAGAGGUGAGUGGAAUUCCGAGUGUAGAGGUGAAAUUCGUAGAUAUUCGGAGGAACACCAGUGGCGAAGGCGGCUCACUGGCUCGAUACUGACGCUGAGGUGCGAAAGUGUGGGGAGCAAACAGGAUUAGAUACCCUGGUAGUCCACACCGUAAACGAUGAAUGCCAGUCGUCGGGUAGCAUGCUAUUCGGUGACACACCUAACGGAUUAAGCAUUCCGCCUGGGGAGUACGGUC
rnacentral:rRNA from 1 species